rnacentral:lncRNA from 1 species
UUCGCUUCUUAGUGGGAAAAUCCCCCACUCGUGGACAGGGCAUGCAUAUGGGACAAGUCUUUUUUUCCCCGCACAACUACAGGCUUGUUUGUGUGCGGAACGGUGUCGCCACUACCCAUCUGCGCAAAAAUACAAGGGAUUCUGUGUGUGGGCAUGCUUGUCGAAACUCCCCCAUGCUACUAGCAAAAAACCCUUACGGGCUUCCCAACCUCACGGGUUUUGCCACCUGCGGGCAUGUAGAUCAUUUGUCAUGACUGCUCCACUGAUUUGACAUCACUAAGCCUGAAAUUGAUAGCUGCAAGCCAAGACCCCUCUCUUCUCUGCCAUAUGUUGUUUGACCAAUUCCCCUCUCCAACCUUAUUGGCCACCCAAGCCUCCAACAGCUUAGAUCACUUGUAUGUGAUCCAACGGCCAAGGAUGCACUAGAUGGGUAGUUUAAAUACUUCAUUUCCCUCUAUUUUAUCCUCCAUUUCUUCAUUUGGUCAAGAGAGCAGAAAACCAGUGAGUGAGAGAGAGAGUCGAGUCCGAGAGUGAGAGCUUGGUGUUAUGGUGUGAGCUGAGAGCAGGAAAAAUAGUGUGCGCUUCUAUCUGGUACGAAAUGACUUCUUCCCUUCUAAGGUAAGUCUUUUUUCCUUUAUUUUGAGAUGAUUAACUCUUCCUUUCAGCUACUCACUCAUUUCCCCUUCACCCAAUACAAAAUCCUUCUUCCAACUUCAACUGAAGCUCCUUCUACAACUAAAAUUGAGCCAGGACAUACUAUUUGAGGUAAACACCUUUUUACUCUUCGAUUCUUGUUCUUUUCCAUUCUUCUCUUGAUUUAUAAAUUUAGAAUAGUUUUUGUAGGCCUUAAGUUGAGUUUAAAUCAAAUUCAUGCAGUUAAAAAUAACCCGAAAUCCACAAAUUCAACUUAAAAACACGACUGACACAACAACAGCUACACAAUGUUGUCAUAUUUCUAAUGCCCUUAUGUUCAUACAUUUUGAUAUAUUAGAGUGUCUACAAUGAGGUAAGAUUAGUGGUAAUUAGUUUUUACAAGCAUUCGGUUUUAUAGAUGCAUUUAGAUGAGUUAAAUCUUUGAAAAAUGUGUGAAUGUUUACUAUUUUAGUUGAUGUAGAGUGUCUUGUGUUGGUUGCAUGAUUUUGAUGAUUUAAUCAUGUUUUUGUUUAUGUUUUUUUAUGAGUUUUGAUGCCCGGAUAAUUUAUGAUGAAUUGGAAUGAAUUUCAGAUAAUAAAUGAAAGAAAAAAAUGGAAAAGGAAUAGCAAACAGAGGCUAGAUUCCUCUAUCUGUGAUGUCCAAGCACUAAUGUGCCAGCAAAGGGGGCAGGCAUGGGUGAUCGUGCAUGAUGGUGCAUGCGAGACACUGUACAAAUGCCCCUGCUGCACCAAGAGGGCCCGCAUGAGGCACUGUGUGUGUGGAGUGAUAUGGUGCAUGUGCACAAGGAUGUAGACCUAGGCACCCACAACAUUGAGGCGUGUGCCCCACUGCCAUACUGCAGCACACACCAAGUCGUGCGGGGCAUGGAGCGCUAUUAAGCGUGCACAUGCUGAAAGCACCAUCGGCCAAGGCACCUUGUGCCGCGGGUACAGGCUUACAAGAAUUUAUCCCCCUAUCACGGAUUCGAGGACAAAUUGCUCAAAAUGUCAAAAAGAACGAAUUUUUGUAAUUUAAAAUUAAGUUUUGAAUUUUGAAAAUGGUAAAAUAAGAGAUUCAAAAUUAAAAAAGGAAAUUUACAAUUAAAAUAUGAAUUUUGAAUACAGCAAGAAAUAAGGAA